rnacentral:rRNA from 1 species
AAUCAACGCUGGCGGCGUGCCUCAGACGUGCAAGUCGAACGAUUAAAGCUCUCUUCGGAGAGUGCAUAAAGUGGCGCACGGGUGAGUAACACGUAAGUAAUCUACCUUCGAGUGGGAAUAACGUCCGGAACGGACGCUAAUACCGCAUAACGCAGCGGCAUCGCAAGAUGACAGUUGUUAAAGAUUUAUCGCUUGAAGAGGAGCUUGCGGCAGAUUAGCUUGUUGGUAAGGUAACGGCUUACCAAGGCUACGAUCUGUAUCCGGUCUAAGAGGACGGUCGGACACACUGACACUGAAUAACGGGUCAGACUCCUACGGGAGGCAGCAGUCGGGG